UUUUCCGGUUGAUCCCGCCGGACCCCACUGCUAUCGAGGUGGGACUAAGCCAUGCUAGUUGAACGACCCGGACUAUGGCGGGGAGUAGCAGACUGCUCAGUAACACGUAGCUAACCUACCCUUGGGACAGGGAUACCCCCGGGAAACUGGGGACAAUCCCCGAUAGGCGUGGAUUCCUGGAAUGGUUCCACACCCAAAUGUUGUGCACCCAUGUCGUGCGCGUACGCCCAAGGAUGGGGCUGCGGUCGAUCAGGCCGUUGGUGGGGUAAUGGCCCACCAAACCUUUGACCGGUACGGGCCAUGAGAGUGGUAGCCCGGAGAUGGACACUGAGACAAGGGUCCAGGCCCUACGGGGCGCAGCAGGCGCGAAACCUCCACAAUUCACGAAAGUGAGAUGGGGUUACCUCGAGUGCCGUCUGAAAAAGGCGGCUUUUCCAUUGUGUAAUGAGCCGUGAGAAUAAGGGGGGGGCAAGACUGGUGUCAGCCGCCGCGGUAACACCAGCCCCCCGAGUGGUGGGGACGUUUACUUGGCCUAAAGCGUCCGUAGCCGGCUGGGUAAAUCUCUCGUUAAAUCCAGCGUCCUAAGCGUUGGGCUGCGAGGGAGACUGUCCAGCUAGAGGGUGGGAGAGGUCAGCGGUAUUCCUGGGGUAGGGGCGAAAUCCAUUGAUCCCAGGAGGACCACCAGUGGCGAAGGCUGCUGACUAGAACACGCCUGACGGUGAGGGACGAAAGCUGGGGUAGCGAAUCGGAUUAGAUACCCGAGUAGUCCCAGCCGUAAACGAUGCAGGCUAGGUGUUGGGCCGGCCACGCGCCGGCUCAGUGCCACAGGGAAGCCAUUAAGCCUGCCGCCUGGGAAGUACGGUCGCAAGGCUGAAACUUAAAGGAAUUGGCGGGGGAGCACCACCAGGCGUGAAGCCUGCGGUUUAAUUGGAUUCAACGCCGGAAAUCACUAGU
rnacentral:rRNA from 1 species